rnacentral:lncRNA from 1 species
AUCGAAACCAUAAAUUUUUUACACAAUAGAAUUAUAUAUAAUUAAUAGAAUAUAUUUUUAUAUUUUAGUCUAUGAUCUAAACGAGUCGCACAUACACCCUAGUACAUGUUCCUCGGCGCUGAGGGCAUCCCCGAAGAGCGGGAGAUUUGGUGACAUUUCGGAUUGGCUGUCUUGCGUUUCUAAUAAGUUGUUUUAUAGUUGGCAUGGUGAGUCAUAUACAUAAUUAGCCGGUUUAGAUCAAUCCUAACCCGAUGAUUAUGAAUUAUUUAGAUUCGAUUAAAUCGGGUUAGUAAGACGAUUAAAUCAGGUUAGUAAGACGAUUAAAUCCGGUUAGGAUCUGGAAGACGAUUAAAUCAGGUUAGGAAGCAAGCAGGUUAGGAAGACGAUUAAAUUCAGGUUAGGAAGACGAUUAAAAAGAGAAAAUUUAAUCUCAAAUCUUGUAGUUAUCAGGAAUCCUUUCUGCUCUUUUUUUAUUCACAAAGAAUCCGCUACCAUAUCAACAAGUCCGUAGGCUUGAGCUUCUUCUGCUGACAUAAAAAGAUCCCUUUCCAUGUCUUUGGAUAUCUGCCAUGAAGGUUUGCCUGUUCUUUGUGCAUAAAUAUUUGUGAGUUGUCUUGCAUUUCUAACAAGUUGUUUUAUAGUUGGCAUGGUGAUUCAUAUACAUAAUUAGCUGGUUUAGAUCAAUCCUAACCCGAUGAUUAUGAAUUAUUUAGAUUCGAUUAAAUCAGGUUAGUAAGACGAUUAAA